rnacentral:lncRNA from 1 species
UUUCCUGUAAAUAUCAAUAUUUAAAGUAAUCUUUCCUGUAAAUAUCAGUACUGUGUAAUCUUUCCUGUAAAUAUCAAUAUUUAAAGUAAUCUUUCCUGUAAAUAUCAGUACUGUGUAAUCUUUCCUGUAAAUAUCAAUAUUUACCAGUGAACUUUGCUCUUAACAAUUUGAACAUUCCACAGGUAGGACAAAAAAUUCUAAGUAUGAUCUUUACCGUAUCGUUUACUUGGUGGAAUAUGUGAAAUAUCUAUGAACAAAAGCUGGGAGAACAAUUUAGUAAUUAUGAGUCUUCACAUUACCCUGGAGGAUGCAUAUGCUUUGUAACUCAUCUGAAUAAUUCACUCUACAAUCAGAGUGAUGGCUUCAUAUGGGUCUUCUCUUCUAGCUAUCUUCAUUCUCUUAUUCCAGUGCACUUGAUUCAAUUAAGAGUAACACUAGGUCUUUCUUGUAUAACACCAUUGUUGAUAGUUCCGAUGGAAGCAGAAGUGCUGCAUCUUGAUAUCAGUUUCUGCUUACACACUAUUUGCUUAUUCUUCUAUCACAUAAUUUAGGGCCAUUGGUCUCUACUUUCAACCAAAUUUUAUCAUCAAUAAUAUCUUCAAUUUUAUUGCUGGCCAGCACACCAGGUGCCUUUCAUAUAUUAUGCAAUCAAUUGGAUGAGGGAAGAGGGAAUCUGGCUCCUCAACUUACUUCUAUACAUUCCUCUGCCAUCAGUAUGAGACCCAUUUAACUGCCACAUUUGAAAUGGUGGGUUGACUUUCCAAUGUCUAGGAAUAUCCUCUGAUUUGUGUAAAACUGUUUUUGACUAAUUGUCAACACUACUGGUUCACAUCUUUGUUGGUGGGGAUUGACAUAUCAGAGGUUCCUGAGUGAAUGUCUGUAGGGAAUGUGAUCCCUUUCUGGGCAUUCUCAACAUUUUCUGUCCAUCAUAGCUGCUUGAUGUUUGCAACAGAGGCAGCUGGACUAUGAAUAGCCCUAUAGCUAACAAAUGCAGCUAGAUCUGAGGUUAUCAACAUCUCUGCUUGUGUAUCAAUGUUGUAUACCAUGCAGAAGAUACUCUUCCUGUUGUUGUUAUUACAGAUUUCAUCUUUGAUCUCCGAGGCAAGUCACUCCUUAGCCUUUAUUUGGAUGCCUUGGCUUGUGGAGAUUCCAAUAAAUGAAGACACUGACCCCCAAUCAUGAUACCUAACUCUAGAUGGUUCUGUGUGUUAGACAUGCAUGAUGCCACUAGCUAUAUUUCUCGUUAAAGAACAAUACUGUUUUCUCUGCUGCUGGCAGGUUAUUGCUACAGAUGCUUGACUUACCCACAUAUGAUGCUUCCAGUGCUGGCCAACAGAUCAUUAUUCAUCCUAAGAGCUGGAACUGAUAUGCCUACAUACCAACACAACUCCACUGAACAUCUUAUUUCUGCACUCAUGAAAGCUAGCCCAGUUGCCAGAGUGUCCACACUGUGGGAAAUCAGAGACAGCUUUCCAUUUCUGGGUAGACUGCCCAGAAUAUCUCAAUACACAGACAACUCUUGGUGUAGAUCUGAACAUCAUUAUUUCUCAUACCAAAGUCUCGAUCAUUUAUAUUGACUGGUGGACAUAAUAGCUUGCAUAUCAUGACUAGAAAAAUACAUCUGGCCUACCCACUGCUUUAACUAGUCUACACAGUACAUUUAUCAAUGGAGGAAAAAGCUCUUGUUAAACCCUCUAUAUAUUAAUAGUGAAGAAAAAGAACAAAUUUUAUGAGAAUACUUAAAUUCAUCAAAUUUAAAACUAUAUGAUAUUAUUACUU